UACAAAGCCUCUACAAGAAAGUAUGCAGCUUUCUGACAGCUCACAGAAUGGGUAGAAGUCCACACUUCUACACCAAAAUAACAGUAACAAAUGGAGGUAUAAUACAUUGAGGUAGCUGGGAUAUCAAGCCACUAAGUAGAAGAAAUCUGCUUCCAGAGCUUCCCACUGAUUUACAGGAAGAACUAAGCGUCUGUGGUGUUAAUCUUCUGAGAUUUUGUCUUCAGGCACCACAGCAUAAAAUAUCCUAUCCUGAGAGAGAUUCAAUAAAUUAUUUAAAACUGG